rnacentral:lncRNA from 1 species
GACAUAUACUAGGGUGCCAAUACAGGCAUUGGCCCAUCUUAAUUUAAAUUGUUUUCUAGCGUAUGAUGCAGACUAGGGUAAAAUUUAUACAAAGCGAGCUUCGAUUAAGUUAGGUAAAUUUUUUAAGAGAUCUAUAUUUGCUCAUUUUAAAAAUAGUAAUCAAUUAAAAACAUGGUUAGCGGUAAGCAAGUAGACUGAAGAAUGAGAGAAGCAUAAAUGGUUGUGAAUCAUAAAUGAUAGAGUACUUUGAGAUCGUAUGAAACUCACGAUCCAACCUCUCUAAAUCAAGGGUAUUUUGGUUUUUUUCAUACUCCAUUAAUUGUGUGACGAGUGUCAGAUCUAGAUAGACCGUCGGGUCAUAUUACAACAAAAAUAAAGUUUAGUGGUUGAUUGAGACUUUUUAAAAUUUUAGAGUCUAAGUAUAACCAGCCAAAUUUUAAGGGUAUCUCUAUAAUUUUUUCUGAAUUUUUUUGAUGAAUGGGGUCUGUAUAGAAAGUAGAAGUUUUGGAGAUGUGCACAUAAUUAUUUUAUGCGUUGUGAAUCCACAUAUAAGCAAAUAUGUAGACAUUACAACAUUUGUGAACAAAAAUCUCAAAUUAAGCGGAGGUAGUCCGCACAAAGCUAUCUCACAUAUGCUCUUGCAAGGAAAGCCAUAAAUAAG